UAGGGUUCUUCUCGUCCUUGCACCUGAAAACAUUAUUAAACCAGAAACAUCGUUGUUACUCAACAAUCUUUUUUCUUUUGGUUAAUUACUUAGCACAAUCUUUCUUGAACAUUAUUUACUCUAAAGCGAUUGAUUUGUCUAAUUAAAGUUAGACAAAGAGCAAUGACUAUCUCCUUUAUUUUCAAUAAAACAUACCCAUCAAACAUUUUAUAUUUUGUAUAUAUAUUCUUAUGGUUUCAAAAUUGUCCACGUGAGCGGUUGGUGACGAGAUGACUUGGACUUAUGGUGUGAGUUGUUGGGUAUACCAACCUUCACCACAGACGAAAAAAGGAUCAUGGGACCAAUUCACACCCAUCAAUGGUUUUAUAUCAAACUAAGUGAUAAAGGAACUAUUUGUCAAAAAAAGAGAGAAAAGAAACAGAACAAAAAAAAAAAAAAAUCAUUUUGUAAGAACAAAAACGAAUUAUAUAUAUUGAAUAAGCCAUAUAUGUGAAGAUUAGCAAAGACACUGUAUAAGAGACGUCAGAUUAUCGUCAUAAUUAGCCGUAAGUAUUCAUAUUCAUAUGUCUACUGAUUAGUGUUUCUGACGACUUCUUUACUUAUUAUUAUUAAUGUACACUAAUGAGUACAUGAGGCAUGCGAGUAUGCAAUUGUAUAGUACAAAGUCUUAUAACCAUAUAAUAUAAAUAAUGUUAGUUACAAAGACGAGUACCUUGAGACCGGUCAUUGUCUUAAUAAGAUACACAAGAGCUAACAUCGUCGAUUAAAAAAAACGUUAUUUGCUGUGUUUUUACUAUUUACAGAAAGUGUUGACUCAACUCAAGUAAGUGGAGACUCUAUGUCAUGAGGUGACGAGGGGUGCAUGGCUGCCAAAUGUAUGAUUCGUCAUCAAAACUGAUACAAGGUGUUUUUUUUUCCUUAGAUUAUUUUUUAUAGUCUACAAGUAUCCCACAAUUUAAAUUAGUUUUUUCGUUUCAAAUGUGAUGAAAAUUUUAUAUAUUGGACCACAAUUCUUGAUAUGAACCUUUACCUUCAAGUUGGUUUCGAAAGAUACAACCGGAAAUAUUUCCACAAUGCUUGAUAUGAGCUUUCAAUUCUAUAUUUUAUAAUAUGGUUUUCGUUUCUAACUUAUUAUAGAAAACUAACCCUUAAUUAGUAAAUAUUUAAGUGACUGACAUUAAUUAGUUAGAAACUAUUAAAAUGCUAAAGGCAAAGUUCACUUACUUGGUCGGAAGAGGAUACUCCGGGAAUAGCUUAGCCAGAAUCUCAACAACUUCCCCGCGGUGGCGAGCACUCUCGGCUAGGAGAUAACGUCCGGAGGCCGAGGGUGCCUCAUAGACCAGAACAUGAGCCAGCGCGACAUCGCGAACAUCCACAUAAGCUUGAGUCAAAUUAGCAUAAGUCUUAGCCGAGCCGGUUAGAUAUUUGAGGACGUGGUAAAGACUGGCGUUGAUCGUCGGCUGUAACGGCGGUCCAAGAACCAGCACCGGAUUCAACACCACCAAGUCAACACCUUUCUCCUUUGCUGUCUCCCACGCCGCUUGUUCCGCCACCAUCUUGCCGUAACAAUACCAAUUCUACAAAACACAUACAAAUAUUCAAUAGACCUAACAUCAAAGAUAAUACUAUUUCACAAUAGAACCAAAAAAUUCACAUUUUUUAGACAUUAAAUAUUUUUCAAUUUUUUAACAUGAUAAACAUGUUUAAUUAACAAAUGCAAAAUAUUUAAAAAAACGAAGCAAGAGUGCAAGACCUUGGUGUUUUUGCAGAAGUCAAGAUCACUCCAACAACUUUCGUCAACGACAGCCUCAGGGUCACGGUUCGGGUCCAUGUAGACGGCACCAAUGGAGGAGGUGAUGACCACGCGCUUGACCUUGGCCUCAGCCGCAGCAUUAAUUACAAACUUGGCUCCAUUCACGGCCGGCUCCACCAUUUGUUCCUGAAAAUUGAUUAUACAUUUAAAAAUAAUUAAUUAAAUACCUCGUUUUUUUUUCACCAAUUAAAUACCUCAUUUCACACUCUGAUGUGAUUUCACAUAAUAAUACUCAUUGAUUUGCCUUCCAACAAAAUAAUUUCUAACCAUCUUUGCUUCAUUUUAAAGUCAAAUGUAAUAAAAACAUCACAACAAGAUGGAACUUUCAACGUCCUAAAAUUAAAAUACUUGACGAAACUGGCAAAAACCAAAUAUUCAAUGAAGAAUAAUAUUGCUAGAGAUUUCACCCUUUUAAUGAGGCGAUAUUUUAAAAAUAGAUAAAAAAAAUAUUAUGUUCAUGAUUAAAAAAAGGGAUUAGAUAACGUCACGACAUGGUCUAAUUAACAAACGACAGAAAAAUCUAAAUGAAAUCAUCAGCUCCACUACUAUAUAAGUAUUAUUUUAUUUCAUGUAGGUCCUUAACUUUAUUCGAUUCUCUCUGUAAGCCACUAAAAAUGCGAUAAAACAAAUAGAAAACCCAAGAA